CUGGAGCGGAGUAUAAAGAACUGAAAUCUGGCUGUGAGCCUGCUUCUGUCUCGUGUCUUGUGCAAAGCCUUUUUGAGUGAAGGGCUGCCACCUUUUGCUAUUUGGCGGAUGAUAUUUGAAGGAACCCAGGAACUCUGUACCAUUAACAGGGUGCAUCUGCUCAUCCCGGCCCCGCCAACCCGCGGACGUCAUUUCAGCAACCAGAGAAAGCAUGUACAAACAGGUGGCGACAUGCAAGACUAGAAGACAUUUCCCAGCCUCCCUUCCCUGAUGGCCGGGGAUGGUUGAUGAGAUGAUCCAGACACCACGGUUGGCAUUCUGACAGCCAACUUGGACCAUGGGGUGAACUUGAAGUCGGAAGCCACAUGCCUGGGAUGGUGAAAUCAUAAGAUAGAGCCUGGAGCCUCCCAUGGCUAUGGAACUGCCAUGGCAUCUUGGAAUGACCUACACAUGACAGGAUAAUAAACCUCUAUGUUGUUUAAGUCCAAAU